CGGCGGGUGUCAGUAAGGCAAACUUACGAGGGAUUUAGCUGUCUAUGAGCCCCUGUAGCACCAGUGCGGGUGGGGAUGAUCGGGGCCACACACCGUUACUGAUACCAGUGGGAGCAGACAGGUGAGAGCAGACAGCAGCACUCCACGCCGCCAAAGCGCAUCCAGCAGAACGGUACUGCAAAUAUAGGCCACGGCUCCCGGAUCCUGGGGAGGACGCAGCAGGCUUAAACUGCAGGAUGAGCCUCCGGCUACUUAGGGCCACAGGGGAUAAGUGCUUAGGUAUACUGAGGGGGGGAGGAGGAGGUUUGAGGAAGCAGUGGGGAUUGUGGUCUGUGCGGCGGGAGCUAUUGCAGAACAAUGUCACUUACAUUGAGUCCUGGUGCAGCAAGAUGGCCGCCGGCAGGGACACAAGCAGAGGAUGACACACUGCUGCUUCGGCUCUGGAGGGCAAACAAGGGGAUCCUCCUCCACACGGAUGCUCCCAGGGGUCUAAGGCAGUUAUUGGUAUUUGACCACAUCAGUCUGUCUGUAUUAGAGUGCUCCCCAACAAGAGUCUUCUACUUUCCUUUCUUUCCUAUGCUCAUAUAAUCACACAGACUCCCAGAGGAAGGCCAGCGAGCCAGAGAUACAGACACAGAGUACCCAGAAGAAUGGAUACUAAGGACAUUGAUACUCCUAAGAAGCCCCGGUGCCGGGUUUACAAUGACAUAACCAGCACAUCAAGAAACAUUGCAAGCGGAAAGCACGGAUGGGUGGCGUACAAAGGAGAACAAAAGGUGAGUCUCUGCAAGUUAGGGGGUGUGUCCGACAAAAGGUUCUGCAGAGCCGGAGUCGGCACAUUCCCUCCCCAGGCAACGACGAGCCAGGUGCAGGUCGCAAGCUCCGUGGAAGUCUGGAACAAUACCAACCGAGGAAGCAGGCACGGCACCCAGAGCGGAAUCAGCCCGGAGCACCUAUGUUUAUCCUGAACGCUGCCCAAGUCCCACUGUCUAAGACGAAUGGCCGCAACAGUAGCACUCAAGACCAUACAGACUUUUAGCCACUGUAGAGACACGGGAUGCCGGUCUCUACCACCGAUAGUGAUCAUUAUUGAUUAUUGGACAUCUCACAUCAUCUUUGCAUUUUAUGCUGAGCCCACAGAACUUUCAAUUGAAUUGAAGUAAUUUUUUGCACCUAGUAUUUUACAGAUCUAAUUAACGCAAUAUCCAUUCAUGCAUGAAUGCACUGUUUAUAUAUAUAUAUGCAUACUCCAUACAAAUUUAUCAUAAGUAAAGGUAUCAGAACCGUAUAAAGUUGUUGCAUUACAUUGUUAGAUAACAAUCAUUACACCACAAAUGCUUUAACAAGCCAGACUAGAGGAAUCAGACACCGAGGGGUGCUAGCGCAGUUAGGUUACCUAACCUACCUUAUUCUAAUCAUUUAAAAAGAGGAGUGGACAUCCCCCAUAUCUGCAGCACACCCCGUUCAUAUUAGCAACAUAAAAAUCUUAACCCUAACCUACCCCUCACACCCCUACGGCAUAACCCUAACCCUCCCCCCACAGUCUAAACCUAACCUCCACCCCCUGGCGCAUAACCUCCUCGGCAUACUUACGUUCUGGAUGCUGGCAGUCAUAGCCAGAUUAAAAGGGGAGUGUGCAGGGGGCCCCCUGGCCGAUGCACACUGACAUCACUAGCUCUCCCUCUUAUUCAGCAGCAGAACCAUGCAGCCAGAAUACGAGCAGAGCAAUAUGCAGUGCAGGCAGAGACACAGGAGUAUUAGGUUUCAUAAGCUACCAAUGGAGCUUCCCGACCAGAGGAGAGAUAAGAAGGGGGGGGGGGGUGUAAGUGACCCAGCUUCUCCUCCUCCUGAGUGUCUGGAUCCUGUGUAACCUGUUAUCUAAUGAGAGCAUUGAGGUGUAGAGAGGGACACACACAGAGAGUCCUCCGGAGUCCUGUCCCAGUGUGUAAGUAGCACAGAGGCUGCUGCUUUUCUUACAUGUGACAAGAUAACUUAUAGAAUUAAUUUUUCGAUGUGUAAAUUGUCUUUAUUCCACUACAAGAUAACUUUAUAAAAUAGUUGUCUUUCAAUUAGUAGAGCUAUAAACAGUACCCAGGCAUUAUAAAACAAUUACUUUAAAUUUAAUAUAUACUAUUGGUUUAAAUGUAAUAUACACAAUCUAAAAUACACCCCCUCCCUUUCCUCGGAUCCCCCAUCUUAAGUGACCCAGGCCCCUCCAAGGCUCAAUCUGGCCCUGCCGCAGGUGGCAUUCCGGCGCCGGCAUUAUGAUCCAUGUCGGGAUCCCAGCGUCUGUCUUCUGAACAGUGUUGGGAUUCUGGCGUCAGUAUUCCAACUGCCGGCAUCCCGAACAUUGGUAUGCUGACCGGAUCCUAUGACAACUAAGAGGCAGUGGUCAAAGUGGAAAUUUAGAAAUAGCUUGAAGUGCACUGGUAUGAGAUGGUAUGACAUACUGGCACUUUUAAAUUUGCAUGGUCACUGAAGUCUCUCCACAAUCUGCAAGCAUCUAUUUUUCUUGAAACAGAGCUAGCUGCAAUCACACAAACUAAGAAAUGUCUCAAGGCUUUUAAAAAGACAAUUUAUUAACAAAUAUAUCAUACAUAUUAAAAGUAGCAGCAACAGAUAUACAGAUUGAGUAUCCCUUAUCCAAAUAAAUAUUCCGAAAUACAGAAUAUUCUGAAAUACAGAAUUUUUUGAGUGAGAUAGUGAAACCUUUGUUUUCUGAUGGAUCAAUGUACACAAACUUUGUUUAAUACACAAAGUUAUUAAAAGUAUUGUAUUUAAUGACCUUCAGGCUGUGUGUAUAAUGAGUAUAUGAAACAUAAAUGAAUUGUGUGUAUGUACACAAUUUUUGUUUAAUGCACAAAGUUAUUAAAAAUAUUGGCUAAAAUAACCUUUAGGCUGUGUAUAUAAGGUGUAUAUGAAACAUAAAUGUAUUCUGUGCUUAGACUUGGGUCCCAUUGCCAUGAUAUCUCAUUAUAGUAUGGAAUUAUUCCAAAAUACAUAAACAUCCAAUAUCCAAACUACUUCUGGUCCCAAGCAUUUUGGAUAUGGGAUACUCAACCUGUAUAUGGUUAUUCUAUAGAGAUGAGCGGGUUCAGUUCUCUGAGAACCGAACCCUACCGAACUUCACGUCCCGAGCCCGGCUCGAGACUUCCCGCCAGCUGUGUUGUGCUGCAUCAGUCCAGUGGUGGCGUCUUGUGCUGCAUCGGUCCAGUCACAGUGGUGGUGUCCUGUGCUGCCAUAUGUCCAGUGCUACUGUAUAAGUCCAGUGCAGUGGUGCUGUGUUGUGCUGCAUCAGUCCAGUACUGGUGUCCUGCGGUGCCAUAAGUCCAGUGGUGGUGUCCUGCGUUGCCAUAAGUCCAGUGCUGCUGCUGUAUAAGUCCAGUGCAGUGGUGCUGUGUUGUGCUGCAUCAGUCCAGUACUGGUGUCCUGCGGUGCCAUAAGUCCAGUGGUGGUGUCCUGCGUUGCCAUAAGUCCAGUGCUGCUGCUGUAUAAGUCCAGUGCAGUGGUGCUGUGUUGUGCUGCAUCAGUCCAGUACUGGUGUCCUGCGGUGCCAUAAGUCCAGUGGUGGUGUCCUGCGUUGCCAUAAGUCCAGUGCUGCUGCUGUAUAAGUUCAGUGCAGUGGUGCUGUGUUGUGCUGUAUCAGUCCAGUGGUGGUGUCCUGUGCUGCCAUAAGUCCAGUGGUGGUGUCCUGUGCUGCUGCCGUAUAAGUCCAGGGGUGCUGCCGUAUAAGUCCAGGGGUACUGCCGUAUAAGCCCAUUGGUACUGCCGUAUAAGUCCAGUAAUACUGUUGUAUAAGUCCAGUGGUACUGCUGUAUAAGUCCAGUCCAGUGGUACUGCCGUUUAAGUCCACUGGUACUACCGUAUAAGUCCAGUGGUACUGCCGUAUAAGUCCAGUGAUACUGCCGUAUAAGUCCAGUGAUACUGCCGUAUAAGUCCAGUGGUACUGCCGUAUAAGUCCGGUGGUACUGCCGUAUAAGUCCAGUGGUACUGCCGUAUAAGUCCAGUGGUACUGCUGUAUAAGUCCAGUACAGUGGUACUGCCGUAUAAGUUCAGUGAUACUGCCGUAUAAGUCCAGUGGUACUGCCGUAUAAGUCCGGUGGUACUGCCGUAUAAGUCCAGUGGUACUGCCGUAUAAGUCCAGUGGUACUGCUGUAUAAGUCCAGUACAGUGGUACUGCCGUAUAAGUUCAGUGAUACUGCCGUAUAAGUUCAGUGAUACUGCUGUAUAAGUCCAGUGGUACUGCUGUAGAAGUCCAGUCCAGUGGUACUGCUGUAUAAGUCCAGUGGUACAGCCGUAUAAGUGCAGUCCAGUGGUACUGCCGUAUAAGUCCAGUGGUACUGCCGUAUAAGUCCAUUGGUACUGCUGUGUAAGUCCAGUGAUACUGCCAUAUAAGUCCAGUGAUACUGCCGUAUAGGUCCAGUGGUACUACCAUAUAAGUCCAGUCCAGUGGUACUGCCGUAUAAGUCAGUGGUACUGCCAUAUAAGUCCAACCCAGUGGUACUGCCGUAUAAGUCCAGUGGUACUGCUAUAUAAGUCCAGUCCAGUGGUACUGCCGUAUAAGUCCAGUGGUACUGCCAUCUAAGUCCAGUGGUACUGCCAUCUAAGUCCAGUGGUACUGCCGUCUAAGUCCAGUGGUACUGCCGUCUAAGUCCAGUGGUACUGCCGUCUAAGUCCAGUGGUACUGUCGUGUAAGUCCAGUGGUACUGCCAUAUAAGUCCAGUCCAGUGGUACUGCCGUAUAAGUCCAGCUGUACUGCCAUAUAAGUCCAGUCCAGUGGUACUGCCUGAUAAGUCCAGUGGUACUGUCGUAUAAGUCCAAUGGCACUGCCGUAUAAGUCCAGUGAUACUGCCGUAUAAGUCCAGUGGUACUGCCGUAUAAGUCCAGUGGUACUGCCGUAUAAGUCCAGUGGUACUGCCGUAUAAGUCCAGUGGUACUGCCGUAUAAGUCCAGUGGUACUGCCGUAUAAGUCCAGUGGUACUGCCGUAUAAGUCCAGUGGUACUGCCGUAUAAGUCCAGUGGUACUGCCAUAUAAGUCCAGUGGUACUGCCAUAUAAGUCCAGUCCAGUGGUACUGCCGUAUAAGUCUAUUGGUACUGCCAUAUAAGUCCAGUGGUACUGCCGAAUAAGUCCAGUGGUGCUGUCCUGUGCUGUAUGUUAUUAACUCCAAAUAAAGGGGUUAUUAAUAUUUAAUCCAAAUAAUUUGUACAGGGUUUGCCCUGUGGGGUACGCUCUCCUGUGCCGCAUAUUGGGGGUAAUUCAGAGUUGAUCGCAGCAGCAAAUUUGUUAGCCAUUGGGCAAAACCAUGUGCACUGCAGGGGUGGCAGAUAUAACGUGCAGAGACAGUUAGAUUUAGGUGGGUUAUUUUUUUUUCUGUGCAGGGUAAAUACUGGCUGCUUUAUUUUUACAGAAUAAAGUAUUAGCAAAGCGCUUGUAUGAAUGUUAGAUGCAUUACUUGAAAAGCAAAAAGCAGGUUAAAAUAUUAUUCUCAACAAUGACUUUGAAAUAAAGUGGUUUUUGUGAAAUUGGGUCCUGAUCACGACAAACUUAUAAAUAAUUCAUGAUUUCUAAUAAUAUCAUUCACCUUUUUUCCUAAGGAAAUUUUUUUCGAGAAGGGUUGAUGCAUAAUCAUAGAGAUAGGAUCCCUUUGAGGACAUUACAGGGGGAGAUUUUGGUUAUAUUUAUGGUGUUCAUUGGAUUAUAUAUUUAUAAUAUGUUUUGCCUUUUAGUAUCCUGAUGCUAUGGAUAUAUUAUGAUAUUGAUAUAUGGAAGUUCUGGACUGUGAGACAAUGUAUCCUGAUCCUAUCUGACAAUGAAAUACAUAGAUAUAGGAUGGAUUACAUCAAUACAGAAUAACCAUGGAAUUUAUGAUGGAGAAUUUAUAUCAGGAUCGAUGGGCUUGUGAAAGUAACUACAUGAGAUUUUGGAGGAACAUGAUCCCUUUAUUUGGACUAUGGAAAAACUAUAUGGACAGAUGUAUGGGGUCAAUUAUGUGGAUAAUUGCAUGGGCAUUAAGGGAAUUGAAAAGGAUAAUAACGUGAUGGACAUGAGGGAUAUGAUUAUUAUUGUUAUGUAGAUUUAUGUCUGAAAUAGGAGGUAUCAUUGCUGCACGAUAUAGGCACAAUUUGAUUGAGUGACAGAAAGGGGAAGACGGCCCAGGAUAUCUAGUCCGCCAUGAUCGCGUAGGGUGGUUGCUUGGGCAACCAAAACGGAAGUGACGCGACGGACGGUGAGUGCGGUUGCCACGGCAACACGCACUGUGGCGACAAGGAACAUAUGUAGGAUUGUCACUGUGUAGAUCAUAAUUUUUAGGAUCAGGAACAUCUACAAUAAUAAACUAGUUAGUAUAUAUGGAGAUAUGGGGUCCGCCACGGUCCGAUAUAACGGUUGCCUAGGCAACCAAAACGGAUAUGACGCGACGGAUGAAGAGUGAGGUUGCUAUUACAACAAGUAUUCUAGUAGCAUGGAGAAGCUUAAAUUCAUUAUUAAUCACACAUUGUUUAGAGAUAGGAAGUUCCGGUAUAACUACACUGGGCUCUGUAUGUAUUAUUAGGUAUUUUGUAGAGGUUAAAUUUUAUUUCAUAAUUAUUUGCACAGAAACCCGGGCGGAAGUGACGUAAUGGAGAGGAAAUAGCAUCAUUAAAACAGAAGCAUCAUGGGAAAUGUAGUUUCAUCAUUUUAUUAGUAUCAGCUGGGAAACAAGAGUUUCUAUUGGGUGAUUGCCUUUUAAAUAGUUACUGAGGAUUGCUUCACACAUACAUCCUGGAAUUCCUUGAAAAAGACCCCAGUGUAGGGGUGGAAACGCAUUGGAAGCAGGGACAUUUACAACUUGGGCAGCUGGACGUGACUGUGGUUGAUGAGAUCCAGAUAAGCUGAUCCGGCGUGGUCAUAACAUCAGUGGGAGCCCGGGACUCACAUUAGACAUGCUGUGACUGAACUGCUUUGUCAGUUCGCUGCUUCUGGUAAUUUCAUUAUAAAUCACAGGCAUCAAGGCUAACACUUGUUUUAUGUUGUUAUGUGUGAAGCUUUUAUGUGGUUUUUAUUGUGACAUUUUAUUGUGCCAUUUUUAUGUGAUAUUCAGCGCAAUAUAUAUUAAAAACUAUACUUCACUA